rnacentral:rRNA from 1 species
GGCCUAACACAUGCAAGUCGAGCGGUAGAGAAGGAGCUUGCUUCUUCUUGAGAGCGGCGGACGGGUGAGUAAUGCCUAGGAAUCUGCCUGGUAGUGGGGGACAACGUUUCGAAAGGAACGCUAAUACCGCAUACGUCCUACGGGAGAAAGUGGGGGAUCUUCGGACCUCACGCUAUCAGAUGAGCCUAGGUCGGAUUAGCUUGUAGGUGAGGUAAUGGCUCACCUAGGCAACGAUCCGUAACUGGUCUGAGAGGAUGAUCAGUCACACUGGAACUGAGACACGGUCCAGACUCCUACGGGAGGCAGCAGUGGGGAAUAUUGGACAAUGGGCGAAAGCCUGAUCCAGCCAUGCCGCGUGUGUGAAGAAGGUCUUCGGAUUGUAAAGCACUUUAAGUUGGGAGGAAGGGUUGUAGCUUAAUACGCUGCAACCUUGACGUUACCAACAGAAUAAGCACCGGCUAACUCUGUGCCAGCAGCCGCGGUAAUACAGAGGGUGCAAGCGUUAAUCGGAAUUACUGGGCGUAAAGCGCGCGUAGGCGGCUUGAUAAGAUGGGUGUGAAAUCCCCGGGCUUAACCUGGGAACUGCAUCCAUAACUGUCUGGCUAGAGUACAGUAGAGGGUGGUGGAAUUUCCUGUGUAGCGGUGAAAUGCGUAGAUAUAGGAAGGAACACCAGUGGCGAAGGCGACCAC